rnacentral:lncRNA from 1 species
UCCCUUUAAGCUAAAACAAACUAAAUAUGUACUAAUCAUCUACAAAACUAAGUCAUGCCAGUAGUACUACCCCCGGUGUGAAGAGGAUCAUCGGUCGGGCGUCGACGCUGCUGCUUUGGCGUAUGAAAAUCGUUGACGUGAUCGAAGUGAGCAACCUCUUCAACAUUUUCAGCCCGUUCGGGAUCAUCACCCUGUUGAUACAAUAUAAUGUAACUCAUUAGUCCAUAUGAUACAAUUACAGAUAACUAAAUGAAAAUUAAAUAACAUGCAGAAUACUUGAAUUUAAAACGAAUAGUAAGGUAACCACCAUCCGAACCACCUUGAGGGUUGACUCAACAUCGGCCCAAAAGCGUCCAUGAAUAAGGUAACCACCAUCUGAACCACCUAGUCGCGUAUUGUGAUGAACUGCUUCGGAGGGAUACCCGUACUCUCGGUGGUGGCACCAGCUGCAAUGUCCUAAGCAAGCUGAUGGAGACGAGCACGACUGGGUAGAUCCUGACGACGGAAUAUUUCAU